rnacentral:rRNA from 1 species
AUGCUGAUCUGGAAGAUGAACACGCUCUUCCUCUACGACCUCGUCAUCACCCAUGCGCUCGAAUGGCCCUCGCUCACCAUGAAGUGGCUGCCCGGUCGCAUUGAGCCCGUCGGCAAGGAGCACUCCAUGCAGAAGAUGGUGCUCGGGACCGACACCUCCGACAAUGAGCCGAACUACCUCAUGCUCGCUAGGUCAAGCUCCCCCUCGACGGUGCCGAGGCCGACGCGCGCCACUACGACGACGACCACGCCGACAUCAGUGGCUUCGGGGCCGCAUCCGGCAAGGUUUGAUGCUUCACCCCCCUUCCCCUCACAUCCCCCAAUAUCUCGUCCUCUGUCAUGUAUGGGUAAUUACUGCCGGUGUUGUUGUCCUGAGCUGUGUUGUGUGCUUGUGGAAUUUUGUUCUGGGUUGAUCUGCUUGCUCUGA